GUGAUCGGUACUCGGUAGGCAGCUAGUGUAUUCUCUUCAUUCUUUCAUUCAUGUGUGCGACGCACGUCGGUUAGUUUUACAGUUUUUUUAACUCGCUGUUUCUCAUGUUUGUCGUUUACGUGAUCACGCAUAUUACCACGCCAUCGCUAAUCGUCCACCGACAAUCACCUCUUUCCGCGACAUGGACUUUGUUUUAAGAGUUAACUAUAAUUUUAUGUGCAAUAACCAAAAAAUAAAUGAAUUUUUGCCUCCUAGUCCGUACAUGUCGUAACCUUGUCGUAAGUAUUUAUGUAUCGGGUGACCAAAAACUCGUUGUUAGUUGCGAGUCGUCAUUGUGUUAACACGACGACGGCGGUCCUCCACAAUCAUCUCGAUACGAAUAUUAGCAGUGCGUAUUUUUGGCGUCGCUGUCUCGAGAAUAAUAUUAUUAUGUCGCUAUGGGUUCGUUUUUCGUAGUCAGCAGAAUGAGUGACACUGAAAAUUGAAUCGUGUGAUUGUGUGAACGUUCGGCCGUUCGGGUCAUUAUAGUUCAGUUGUUCGUGUACAACCAUAAAUAUAAUAUUAUAGAAUGGAUAGGCCAUUUAUGAUUAAUCUAACAACGAACGUGCAAUUAUAGAGGUCUUAUCACGAAUAAAUUGAUGUAUACGUAUUACGUAUACACGUAAUUAUUAUGAUUUUACAUCUGCUAGAAUGAGAGGCAAUGAUGAAAAUAGUGUUUCUCUCUUCCCCAUUACUGCACGCUCCCCACUAUAUUGUUAUUGUAGUCAUGGCCUAUUUAUUAUAUUUUAAUAUCUAUAGGUACAACGAGUAAAUGACGACGCCGCCGUCUAGCUGACGUAUUUGUACAACUGCGGACCGGUCGUCCAUUUAUUUCUAAACUUCACCUCUUUGUCGACGGUACUACUACUGCUCUACUCAAGACGUAUGCAUUGUGUCCUUCACAUCACCUCUAAAACCCGACGGCGAUCUUUGGCCGUUUGGUACGCCUUCGGCCGGCAUAACGUUAAUAGGUUAAGUAUAGUUUCGACGGCGAGAACUUGUUGAUUCGGUACCGGUGAAUGCAGUAUACUGUAGUCUCGUCAUAAAAGCCGGAGCGGUGGACACUGACCACAUCAUCCAGGACAAGGACAAUAGCUGUCAGUCGUGCAGAGUGUCCGGGACUGUUACUUUGUUACUAGUUGCUGCUUAUUUUUAUUUCGGCUGCAAGCACGUGAAACCCGUAUAUUACUUCGGAACCACGGGUAUGAUAUCUUUAGCUGCGUCGAGAGCAUUAGAUUGACACCUUUCAAUGGUUAACAUUUCAAAAUCAGUCGUGUGGUCAGAAUUUAUAUAAUGGUAAAAAAGUUUCACUAUCAAGGUAAAUGAUAUAAUUUAUUAAUGUCUUAUAACAAUUAUUCUAGUCAGAUUGUUAUACUUAACAAUUGUAGUUUGAUUAUAUUUUUGCAAUGUGAUAGAUAUUGCUAGGAUCUAUACAACUGGUUUCAGGCGCGGACUGGUAAAAAAGGGCGCUCGAUGCUACAUAAUUUAAAGGGCAAAUAGAACAAAUUUUGGGGGUAAAUUUUAAAUGUGUAGGUUAUUUAUAAAACAUUUAAAUAUUUUCUUUUGAUUUAAUAAAAUAUUGUAAUUACGUUAAAAGUGUAAAUAGGUGCCAAAUUACAACAAACAUUAAAAAAAUUACAAAUUUACAAACUUCUACAGUUGUAUGGUAAGAAAAAUUGAACCUUUGCUUCUUUUUCUCAUAAGAGUUCCGGAUCGCUCGCUUGCUAAAGGCAUUUUUCGUGUUUCUCAGUCUCAUUUUCCACGCCUGAGUGCACUCAAUUCUCUAUCCAGGCUCUGAUUCCGCUAGGGAGGGGGCUUGAGUUUUCUUAUCCUAACUUUCCUCAUGCGAGCCUCACAGGUUGCUUUCAACGCUUCUGUGAGUGCAGUCACGCUAGCACCGAUCUGGUAACUUAAAGUAUUACAGAACUCGGAUCAAUUCGCAUCACUCCAAUCGUGCCUGACGAAAGGAUAUGGCCGCGUGGCCGCUCGACGUCAGAUUGUGGACCACAGAUUAGUCGACCAGCCUGACUCCGAUAGUCGCCAGGGUGAUAUCCAGGGACGCGGACCCCCGGUUUCUGAACGUCGGCGGGAAGCCAAAGAUUAUGGACCGUGAGAUUUUUCCGACUUACGAGGUCCACGAAAAUUUCACCGCGGUCGUCCGUGAAAAGGUCAUGACAAACAGUGGACCGUGCGUUCACGUUCGCGAACACAAGCACGCUUUCGCUUAGCGCGUCCUGAACGGACUCGAGUGCGUCAGCGUGAGUUUGAGUUGGCUCCGAAAAUUGAAAGUCAGUUAUUAUGUAUGGUUAUAAUGUUGUACCAUAUUGAACUGUCUUCUCUAUUUUUGGGGCAUGAACAUUUCUUAAUUCUGUGACAUCUUGAAAUAAAAUUUAACAAAAAAUUAUAUUUAAAUAAGAAUCAAAAACAUAAAUAAGUAAGACUUGAAGUUAUUUGAAGUCUAUUUAUUAAUGAAACUUACAGGUAUAAAUAAAACAAAAUAAUCUGCUUGUUCAGCCUUUGGUGGUCUCAAAAUUGAAUGUUUACCGUCUUAUCUACGAUUUUUGUCUAACUUGAUUGUUAAUGGUUGAACAAUUUGUGGCCAAAGUUUGAGAACAGACAUGUUAUCAUUACCUUAAAAAGCCAAUUGUAUUUGAAAAUGAAACAAAUAUAUUAAACAAAAUAUUAACUAGGUAAUUAGUAAUUACCAGGCCUUGACGGGGUUUUAAGUUCGGAAGUAAUGUAGACUUAUCUUGUAAUGAAAAACGUUUGGUUAGUUUAUGAAUAUACUUGAUUAACUUCACUUUAAAUUCGUCAAACUUAUGAAAUAAGAGUUUACCUUUUCCAGGAUACAAAGUCUGGAAAUCAAUCUUAAUCUAUAACAGUAAUAAUACAAUUAAAUCCAAUGUUGUUUAACAUAAUAUACACAUUUAGUGAAACCAUAGAUAAUAUUGUAAUACCCACAUUAAUACAUUACCUAAUUUAAUUGUGCACAAUGUUGUAUUAUUAACAGUAGCAUUUAAACAUAAAAUUCACUAAUAAAUGACCAGAUGGACUUUUAAAAGCAUAAUGAAGUUCAAUACAGUUUUCUUUUAUUGUCAAUCUAUAAUUUUAUGUCUCAGUUCAAUAUUUAUGUAGAUAAUAAUACCCUUCGCUAAUAGUGUAAAUUUAUUUUUUUCAAUUUUGAUAGACUGUUGAAUUUCAUGUUUAAUAAUGAUAGAAGAUAAACUAUUUCUUAUAUAUUGACUUAAUGUACCAACAGGAUCAUAAUAAUCAUAUUAUUAUCCACAUAUUAUAACCAUACAUUCCUCACCUUUAAGGAACAUAAGAUAUCCUCUCUUCUUCCACAACUAACCUUUGCCUCACAUCCAUAUUCAUUAGUUAUAUCAAUGGUCAACCUACUACAUUGUCAUAAUGCAUUAUUUUGCUGUUGUAAUAUACUACAAAGGUUAUUUUUGUGAUGACUUGUUACCUUCACACUUCUACAAUUGGUGUGGUAAUUUAAUUUCUUUAUUACAAAUAAAAUUGUUAUCUUUUGUCAUCAAAAUUUCCAUUUUAUUUAAGAAUAGUUUA